GACGAACGCUGGCGGCGUGCUUAACACAUGCAAGUCGAACGGAAAGGCCCUGCUUUUGUGGGGUGCUCGAGUGGCGAACGGGUGAGUAACACGUGAGUAACCUGCCCUUGACUUUGGGAUAACUUCAGGAAACUGGGGCUAAUACCGGAUAGGAGCUCCUGCUGCAUGGUGGGGGUUGGAAAGUUUCGGCGGUUGGGGAUGGACUCGCGGCUUAUCAGCUUGUUGGUGGGGUAGUGGCUUACCAAGGCUUUGACGGGUAGCCGGCCUGAGAGGGUGACCGGCCACAUUGGGACUGAGAUACGGCCCAGACUCCUACGGGAGGCAGCAGUGGGGAAUAUUGCACAAUGGGCGGAAGCCCGAUGCAGCAACGCCGCGUGCGGGAUGACGGCCUUCGGGUUGUAAACCGCUUUCGCCUGUGACGAAGCGUGAGUGACGGUAAUGGGUAAAGAAGCACCGGCUAACUACGUGCCAGCAGCCGCGGUGAUACGUAGGGUGCGAGCGUUGUCCGGAUUUAUUGGGCGUAAAGGGCUCGUAGGUGGUUGAUCGCGUCGGAAGUGUAAUCUUGGGGCUUAACCCUGAGCGUGCUUUCGAUACGGGUUGACUUGAGGAAGGUAGGGGAGAAUGGAAUUCCUGGUGGAGCGGUGGAAUGCGCAGAUAUCAGGAGGAACACCAGUGGCGAAGGCGGUUCUCUGGGCCUUUCCUGACGCUGAGGAGCGAAAGCGUGGGGAGCGAACAGGCUUAGAUACCCUGGUAGUCCACGCUGUAAACGGUGGGUACUAGGUGUGGGGUCCAUUCCACGGGUUCCGUGCCGUAGCUAACGCUUUAAGUACCCCGCCUGGGGAGUACGGCCGCAAGGCUAAAACUCAAAGGAAUUGACGGGGCCCCGCACAAGCGGCGGAGCAUGCGGAUUAAUUCGAUGCAACGCGUAGAACCUUACCUGGGUUUGACAUGAAUCGGGAGUGCUCAGAGAUGGGUGUGCCUCUUUUGGGGUCGGUUCACAGGUGGUGCAUGGCUGUCGUCAGCUCGUGUCGUGAGAUGUUGGGUUAAGUCCCGCAACGAGCGCAACCCUUGUUCACUGUUGCCAGCACGUUAUGGUGGGGACUCAGUGGAGACCGCCGGGGUCAACUCGGAGGAAGGUGGGGAUGACGUCAAGUCAUCAUGCCCCUUAUGUCCAGGGCUUCACGCAUGCUACAAUGGCUGGUACAGAGAGUGGCGAGCCUGUGAGGGUGAGCGAAUCUCGGAAAGCCGGUCUCAGUUCGGAUUGGGGUCUGCAACUCGACCUCAUGAAGUCGGAGUCGCUAGUAAUCGCAGAUCAGCAACGCUGCGGUGAAUACGUUCCCGGG
rnacentral:rRNA from 1 species